rnacentral:tRNA from 1 species
GCGUGUGUAGCUCAGCUGGAUAGAGUACCUGGCCGGUCGGAGGUUCGAAUCCUUCCACACGCGCCA